CAGGCACCCACACUGGUGUAUCCUUUCCCACAGGUCGAGGCUGAGCAUAGGAUGAACACUGGAAGAAGGAGAGUUGUGGGGGAGACAUGAUGGAGCGCUACAGGCACUUACACAGGAUCAUUCUCAUGGUUGUUCUGCAAGGGGGGUUCCCAGGUUCGUACAGUCAGGAUUGGGCCAUUACCCUCCCUGAAUCCAUCAGAGCAUUGAGAGGAUCCUGUGUGGAGAUUCCCUGCACAUUCACCCUCCCCAGGGGCAACAAGGACUUCAGUCUGGUUUGGUACAAGAAAAACAAUCUUCUUCUUAACAAUAUAAUAUUCAGCCAACAGAAUCCCUCUGAUGUGAAUAAGGAUUACAGACGCCGCACUUCCCUGGUCGGCAAUGAGCCAAACAGCUGCUCCCUGAGGAUUAAUGAUGUGCGAGAGAGUGAGACUUAUUAUCCCUAUAUAAAUGGGAACUGUCAUGUCUCUAUCGCUAAUAAUGACCAG